ACGCUCGACACCUACGGGGAGGCAGCAGGUGGGGAAUAUUGCACAAUGGGGGAAACCCUGGUGCAGCGACGCCGCGUGAAGGAAGAAGUAUCUCGGUAUGUAAACUUCUAUCAAGCAGGGAAGAAAGUGACGGUACCUGACUAAGAAGCCCCGGCUAACUACGUGCCAACAGCCGCGGUAAUCGUGAGGCGGGCUGGCAAGGC
rnacentral:rRNA from 1 species